rnacentral:rRNA from 1 species
GAUGAACGCUGGCGGCGUGCCUAAUACAUGCAAGUCGAGCGAACAGACGAGGAGCUUGCUCCUCUGACGUUAGCGGCGGACGGGUGAGUAACACGUGGAUAUCCUACCUAUAAGACUGGGAUAACUUCGGGAAACCGGAGCUAAUACCGGAUAAUAUAUUGAACCGCAUGGUUCAAUAGUGAAAGACGGUUUUGCUGUCACUUAUAGAUGGAUCCGCGCCGCAUUAGCUAGUUGGUAAGGUAACGGCUUACCAAGGCGACGAUGCGUAGCCGACCUGAGAGGGUGAUCGGCCACACUGGAACUGAGACACGGUCCAGACUCCUACGGGAGGCAGCAGUAGGGAAUCUUCCGCAAUGGGCGAAAGCCUGACGGAGCAACGCCGCGUGAGUGAUGAAGGUCUUCGGAUCGUAAAACUCCGUUAUUAGGGAAGAACAAAUGUGUAAGUAACUAUGCACGUCUUGACGGUACCUAAUCAGAAAGCCACGGCUAACUACGUG